rnacentral:ncRNA from 1 species
GAAGGUCCCAAGGGUUUGGCUGUUCGCCAAUUAAAAAGAUACGUGAGCUGGGUUCAGACCGUCGUAAGACAGGUCGGUCUCCUAUCUGCUGCAGGCGUUGAUUCUUGAAGAGAUUUGCCCCUAGUACGAGAGGACCGGGGUGAACUGACCUCUGGUCUACCUGCUGUCACGCCAGUGGCACCCGCAGGGUAGCUAUGUCGGGAAGGGAUAAGCGCUGAAAGCAUCUAAGCGCGAAACCCACUCUAAGAUUAGGAAUCGUUGAGACCCCUAGGAGAUGACUAGGUUGAUAGGCUUUAGGUGUACGCACAGUAAUGUGUUCAGCCGAGAAGUACUAAUUUGUCGACUCUAUUGGGAAC